rnacentral:lncRNA from 1 species
CUGGAACGUACUUCCCUGGUACAAGAAGUCUGUAGCAAGGAGCUGAAUUAUUAGGUCCUUCAUCUUGUACAUCUGUGAAGGGGCCUCCUUCCUUGAGCUGUGCCUGGCAUUUCCCUGCCUCCCACACUAGUCCCCAGCCCAGCUGACAGACGGACAGAGGAGCCACAGCCACACCAGGAGCUGCCCGUGCCAGACAGACCUAUGUGGGGUGCAGAGCCCCAGGAAAAAGCUGGGCUGCCUGUGCUGAGGAUGAUGCUGCCGCCUGCCCUGGGGUACAGCCCUGCCUGUGCCCACCCGGCUCUGCCCACCCGGAGACACUGCGGGGACUUCACGGCUCCAGCUCGGUUGUGGCUUCAGGUCCAGCUCCUGCUUGUUCUUGCUUCCAGAACAUUUUAGGCUCCAGUUGGGUUUCAGCUUCUCUGGCUUCAUUUUGGCUCCAGGUUAUUUGCAGCUCCAGUUCAUCUGUGGCUUCAGCUGCUGUUCGUUUCUGCUCCAUCUUGUUACAGCUUGUGCUUGUUCAAAUGGUCUUGGCUUUUGACAGGCUUGUAGAUUGAUCACUGUCGUAACUUGCAUAUGAAUAUGAAUUGUACAUUGUCUGACUACGGACUAAUGAGUUAAUGACUAUUCCAGCUCACAGUGUACACACUGUGAAUAAAGAUGGUCUGAAAAGCGCCUUUUUCCCCCCGAGAGUAUCUAUCUCAGAUGUUG